CGGACGGGUGAGUAACGCGUGGGUAACCUGCCUUAUACAGGGGGAUAACAGUCAGAAAUGGCUGCUAAUACCGCAUAAGCGCACAGAGCUGCAUGGCUCGGUGUGAAAAACUCCGGUGGUAUAAGAUGGACCCGCGUUGGAUUAGCUUGUUGGUGGGGUAACGGCCCACCAAGGCGACGAUCCAUAGCCGGCCUGAGAGGGUGAACGGCCACAUUGGGACUGAGACACGGCCCAGACUCCUACGGGAGGCAGCAUG
rnacentral:rRNA from 1 species